rnacentral:rRNA from 1 species
CCUACGGUGUGCUGCAGUGGGGAAUAUUGGACAAUGGGCGAAAGCCUGAUCCAGCCAUGCUGCGUGUGUGAAGAAGGCCUUCGGGUUGUAAAGCACUUUCAGUGGGGAAGAAAGCCUUGUGGCUAAUACCCUCGAGGAAGGACAUCACCCACAGAAGAAGCACCGGCUAACUCCGUGCCAGCAGCCGCGGUAAUACGGAUGGUGCGAGCGUUAAUCGGAAUUACUGGGCGUAAAGCGCGCGUAGGCGGUCUGAUAAGCCGGUUGUGAAAGCCCCGGGCUCAACCUGGGAACGGCAUCCGGAACUGUCAGGCUAGAGUGCAGGAGAGGAAGGUAGAAUUCCCGGUGUAGCGGUGAAAUGCGUAGAGAUCGGGAGGAAUACCAGUGGCGAAGGCGGCCUUCUGGACUGACACUGACGCUGAGGUGCGAAAGCGUGGGUAGCAAACAGGAUUAGAUACCCUAGUAGUC